CACGGAGGGUGCUAGCGUUGUUCGGAAUUACUGGGCGUAAAGGGCGUGUAGGCGGCUUGGUAAGUCGGAAGUGAAAUCCGAUGGCUCAACCAUCGAACUGCUUUCGAUACUGCCUGGCUUGAGUACGGGAGAGGAGAGCGGAAUUCCCAGUGUAGAGGUGAAAUUCGUAGAUAUUGGGAAGAACACCAGUGGCGAAGGCGGCUCUCUGGACCGAUACUGACGCUGAGACGCGAAAGCGUGGGGAGCAAACAGG
rnacentral:rRNA from 1 species